AUACAGAGGGUGCGAGCGUUAAUCGGAAUUACUGGGCGUAAAGCGCGCGUAGGCGGCUUAUUAAGUCAGAUGUGAAAUCCCCGGGCUCAACCUGGGAACUGCAUCUGAUACUGGUAAGCUAGAGUUUUGGAGAGGGAAGUAGAAUUUCAGGUGUAGCGGUGAAAUGCAUAGAGAUCUGAAGGAAUACCAGUGGCGAAGGCGACUUCCUGGCCAAAAACUGACGCUGAGGUGCGAAAGCGUGGGUAGCAAACGGGAUUAGAUACCCUAGUAGUCC
rnacentral:rRNA from 1 species